rnacentral:rRNA from 1 species
AACGAACGCUGGCGGCAGGCUUAACACAUGCAAGUCGAGCGGGCCCGCAAGGGUCAGCGGCGGACGGGUUAGUAACGCUUGGGAACGUGCCUUUUGCUUCGGAAUAGCCCUGGGAAACUGGGGGUAAUACCGGAUGUGCCCUGAGGGGGAAAGAUUUAUGGGCAAGAGAUCGGCCAGCGUGGGAUUAGGUAGUUGGUGGGGUAACGGCCCACCAAGCCGACGAUCCAUAGAUGGUUUGAGAGGAUGAUCAGCAACACUGGGACUGAGACACGGCCCAGAAUCCUACGGGAGGCAGCAGUGGGGAAUCUUAGAAAAUGGGCGCAAGCCUGAUCUAGCCAUGCCGCGUGGGUGAUGAAGGCCUUAGGGUCGUAAAGCCCUUUCGCCGGGGAAGAUAAUGACGGUACCCGGUAAAGAAACCCCGGCUAACUCCGUGCCAGCCGCCCAGUAA